rnacentral:rRNA from 1 species
AUGGCCUGCAAGAUAGCACUAGUAGUCUUGUCGAUAUCUGUGUUAGCAUUCUUCCUCUGCCUUGGUACUGCCGAAGCUGACCCACGAUGCCUGUACAAGGUUAAUCCUUACUAUCAUGGUAGCUGCGAGAACCCUUAUGACGAGAAUUGUCGAAUUGCUUGUAUUAGAUUUGAGCCACCAAAGUACAGGGGUGGGGAGCCAUAA